rnacentral:rRNA from 1 species
ACUGGAGACUGGCGCACGGGUGAGUAACGCGUAGGCAACCUGCCUUUUGCUGGGGAAUAACAUCGGGAAACCGGUGCUAAUACCGCAUAAUGCAGCGGAUCCGCAUGGAUAUGUUGUUAAAGACUUCGGUCGGCAAAAGAUGGGCCUGCGUGCCAUUAGCUAGUUGGUAAGGUAACGGCUUACCAAGGCAAUGAUGGCUAGGGGGUCUGAGAGGAUGGUCCCCCACACUGGAACUGAGACACGGUCCAGACUCCUACGGGAGGCAGCAGUGAGGAAUCUUGCGCAAUGGGCGAAAGCCUGACGCAGCCACGCCGCGUGCUGGAAGAAGGUCCUAUGGAUUGUAAACAGCUUUUGUUAGGGAAGAAUCCCCGGGUUUCGAUCUGGGUUGACGGUACCUAACGAAUAAGCACCGGCUAACUCCGUGCCAGCAGCCGCGGUAAUACGGAGGGUGCAAGCGUUGUCCGGAAUCAUUGGGUGUAAAGGGUGCGAAGGCGGAAUGCUAAGUCUGAGGUGAAAUCCUGCCGCUUAACGGUAGAACUGCCUUGGAUACUGGUAUUCUUGAGUACAGAAGAGGUCGGUGGAAUUCGUAGUGUAGCGGUGAAAUGCUUAGAUAUUACGAAGAACACCAGUGGCGAAGGCGGCCGACUGGGCUGUAACUGACGCUGAGGCACGAAAGCGUGGGGAGCGAACAGGAUUAGAUACCCUGGUAGUCCACGCUGUAAACGAUGUAUGCUAGGUGUUGGCCUUUGGGCCAGUGCUGCAGUUAACGCAUUAAGCAUACCACCUGGGGAGUACGUCGGCAACGAUGAAACUCAAAGGAAUUGACGGGGGCCCGCACAAGCGGUGGAGCAUGUGGCUUAAUUCGAUGCAAC